rnacentral:lncRNA from 1 species
CUGGAGCCUGCUCAGAGGUGCUUUGAAGGGAUCCCUGGGCUGCCUGGGGAAGCACCCAGGGCCAGGGAGUGUGACCCUGCAGGCUCCACACAGGACUGCCAGAGGCACACACCUGCUCUGUCUACCCGAGGGCACCAGAGGGCACGAGAAGGCUGGCUCCCUGGCGCUGACACGUCAGGCAACUGAGGCACAAGGCUGUCACCAUCGAGAUCAACCCCGACUGUGCCGCCAUCACCCAGCGGAUGGUGGAUUUCGCUGGCGUGAAGGACAAGUCACCCUUGUGGUUGGAGCGUCC